UGGGGUUGGGCCCCCACUGGAAUUGUCUCACGCCGUGAAAUCGUGAAUUUUCCGUUGCUGUCGAAAUUUUUACCGAAAGGCUUUCUGCGAUAGCUGCUACAACGCGUGGUUAGGGUUUGUAUUCCAGCUAUGGUGGUUCUGAGUUGUAUUGCGUUUUCAUAUUUUGAUGAAUCAACAAAGUCGACCGUUUAUGACGCACGGAGAAGACGAAAUGGAGCGAAUCCCCCAACGCAAAAUUCAUGAACUGAGCGAUAGCGAGUUGAAGAACGGAGCAUAGCCCGCGUAAAGAUCUUUCUGCAUGAUAUGAACCAAAGGAUUCCUCAAAUAACGACAAAUCUCAAGGAAACACAACUUCAUUUUUGAUCCCUUAUGUGUCUUCAGGAAAUUGAACGAGGUGAAGCACACCAGCUAGAGGAAUAUGUGGACUGGAGAAACAAACCUGUGGAUAAAUCCAAACAUGGCAGAAUCCUUGCUGGAGCUUUUGUUCUCUGGUUGGGUGUUAUUAACAGUACAAGCACAUUUUCCUUCACUAAAGUUGGGAUUUGCAAGUAGGUGGAAGGUUGACAAGCUAUAAUUCUCUACACUGGUCUGUAUCUCGUGGCUCUUGGUGUUGGAGGCAUUAAGGGCUCUCUGCCUGUUCAUAGGGUAGAACAAUUCGAUGAGAAUGAUGGAAAAGAGAUGCUAGCAGUAACAUUUGUAGUGUGGGUACAAGACAAUAAGGGCUGGUUCUGGGGAUUUGUCCUCUCUAUCGUGAGCAUUGCACUUGUAUUAGCAAACCAAGAGAUAACAGCAGUAGGUCUAAUUGCUAUCGGCAAUACAAAUUGGACCUUCUUGAGGUCCAACCGCUAGUUAGUAAUUAGCCGAUAGACUAUUUAGCGUGGGCAUAGCCCGCCCACCGGUAUUGUCUCACGCAUCCAUAAAAGUCUCACACCAUAGCUGCGGUUUUCUUUUUUUCGUCCUUUUCAAACAGUUGUAUUUUAGCACUCCUAUUAUUGUGGGGAUUAUACUGUACACUUGGAGGAGAAUAUUCUGUGGGCUAAGAGAUUUGGUCCCUUAACAGCUUGGUUUUCCUACUUUUUAAUAUUUAUUUUGUGAAGGCUUAUGUAA